rnacentral:tRNA from 1 species
GGCGGCGCUGGUCCGCGUUCCGGCAGUCGCCGUUCUGGCCGGCCACCGUGCUGGUGCUGAUCCUCGCCGCCGCCGC